rfam:Triticum urartu cultivar G1812 contig238591, whole genome shotgun sequence.
UAUCUACUUCUUCCGUUUCAAAUUAUUCGUCACAGAAAUGGAUGUAUCUAGAAUUAAAAUAUAUCUAGAUACAUCCAUACUUACGACAAGUAAUUCGGAACGGAGGGAGCAGUUA